rnacentral:rRNA from 1 species
GGGGAGGAAGGGAGUAAAGUUAAUACCUUUGCUCAUUGACGUUACCCGCAGAAGAAGCACCGGCUAACUCCGUGCCAGCAGCCGCGGUAAUACGGAGGGUGCAAGCGUUAAUCGGAAUUACUGGGCGUAAAGCGCACGCAGGCGGUUUGUUAAGUCAGAUGUGAAAUCCCCGGGCUCAACCUGGGAACUGCAUCUGAUACUGGCAAGCUUGAGUCUCGUAGAGGGGGGUAGAAUUCCAGGUGUAGCGGUGAAAUGCGUAGAGAUCUGGAGGAAUACCGGUGGCGAAGGCGGCCCCCUGG